UCUGCUCAAUGUAAUUUAUAAAUAGCUGCAUAAUAUGUACUAAGGUAGCAUAAUAAUUUGUCUUUUAAUUAAAGAAUUGUAUGAAUGAAUUUACAAGAAAUUAACUGUCUCUUUAUAAUUAUUAUAAAUUAAUUUAUAAGUGAAAAAGCUUAUAUAAAAUAAAUAGACAAGAAGACCCUGUUGAGCUUUUUCUAUUAAAUAAUAAAUAGAUUUUGUUGGGGCAACAUUUAAAUAUUAUAAUCAUUUUUUAUAUUUUAGAAUAAAUUCACUUUAUUUAUCUUAUUUUAUAAAAUAUUAAUAAGUUACCACAGGGAUAACAGACUAAUUUUCUUUUAGAGCUCAAAUUAACAAGAAAGAUUGGCACCUCGAUGUUGGCUUAAGAUCACAAUUAAUUGUAGUAAAUUAAUUUUGUUGGUUUG
rnacentral:rRNA from 1 species